rnacentral:rRNA from 1 species
AUUGAACGCUGGCGGCCGGCCUAACACAUGCAAGUCGAGCGGAUGACGGGAGCUUGCUCCUUGAUUCAGCGGCGGACGGGUGAGUAAUGCCUAGGAAUCUGCCUGGUAGUGGGGGACAACGUUUCGAAAGGAACGCUAAUACCGCAUACGUCCUACGGGAGAAAGCAGGGGACCUUCGGGCCUUGCGCUAUCAGAUGAGCCUAGGUCGGAUUAGCUAGUUGGUGAGGUAAUGGCUCACCAAGGCGACGAUCCGUAACUGGUCUGAGAGGAUGAGCAGUGACACUGGAACUGAGACACGGGCCAGACUCCUACGGGAGGCAGCAGUGGGGAAUAUUGGACAAUGGGCGAAGGCCUGAUCCAGCCAUGCCGCGUGUGUGAAGAAGGUCUUCGGAUUGUAAAGCACUUUAAGUUGGGAGGAAGGGCAGUAAGUUAAUACCUUGCUGUUUUGACGUUACCGACAGAAUAAGCACCGGCUAACUCUGUGCCAGCCGCCGCAGUAAAAC